rnacentral:tRNA from 1 species
UUGGAUAGCUCAUUGGUAGAGCAGUCGGCUCAUAACCGAUCGGUCGCAGGUUCGAAUCCUGCUCCAAACCA